rnacentral:rRNA from 1 species
GACGAACGCUGGCGGCGUGCCUAAUACAUGCAAGUUGAGCGCUGAAGGUUGGUACUUGUACCAACUGGAUGAGCAGCGAACGGGUGAGUAACGCGUGGGGAAUCUGCCUUUGAGCGGGGGACAACAUUUGGAAACGAAUGCUAAUACCGCAUAAAAACUUUAAACACAAGUUUUAAGUUUGAAAGAUGCAAUUGCAUCACUCAAAGAUGAUCCCGCGUUGUAUUAGCUAGUUGGUGAGGUAAAGACUCACCAAGGCGAUGAUACAUAGCCGACCUGAGAGGGUGAUCGGCCACAUUGGGACUGAGACACGGCCCAAACUCCUACGGGAGGCAGCAGUAGGGAAUCUUCGGCAAUGGACGAAAGUCUGACCGAGCAACGCCGCGUGAGUGAAGAAGGUUUUCGGAUCGUAAAACUCUGUUGGUAGAGAAGAACGUUGGUGAGAGUGGAAAGCUCAUCAAGUGACGGUAACUACCCGGAAAGGGACGGCUAACUACGUG